rnacentral:ncRNA from 2 species
GCGCCUGUAGCUCAGUGGAUAGAGC